CCCUUAGAUGUCCUGGGCCGCACGCGCGCUACAAUGACCCACUCAGAAAGUUUUUCCUGAUCCGGAAGGAUUCGGGUAAUCUUCAUAGCAUGAGUCGUGUUAGGGAUCGAUCUUUGCAAUUAUAGAUCUUGAACGAGGAAUGCCUAGUAAGUGCAGCUCAUCAGGCUGUACUGAUUACGUCCCUGCCCUUUGUACACACCGCCCGUCGCUCCUACCGAUUGAGUGGUCCGGUGAACCUUCUGGAUUAAGCAGCAAUGCUUGAGAAGUUAGGUAAACCUUAUCACUUAGAGGAAGGAGAAGUCGUAACA
rnacentral:rRNA from 1 species